rnacentral:sRNA from 1 species
GCUAAUGGAAAAUACUCGGAGGAUUUGCACAAAAUUCCAAGCCUCUUAUUAUGUUGAGCUCACCAAUUUUAAGACAAGAAAUAUUUAUGUCUUCACACGGACAAGUAAUUAAAGAUAAUAAUUACUUGAGGGGAACACAUUUCCAGUUAAAGUCAUAAAAUUUAAAUACGCUCCAAAAUUGCGGGGCUUCAAAUAGUUUUAGGUGAAAUAUUACCAAAAGUGCAAGCAUUCACAAGUGAGUUGAGUUAUUACCUUUGCAAAUUGUUAGCCUUAAACAUCAAAUAAAGCCUAUAUAAAAAUAACAGUUUUGUUAAUAGAGUGAAUAAAAAAACAUAAAUCAAAAAAAAACAAAGACCGUAAACAAUAAAUAUAAAAGAUCUCAAUGAAAACUUUUCCGUAGAUCAUCAGCUAAAAAAAUCCCCCAGCGGAAAAUAAAUUACAGCACCACCUGAUUUUUUUCCAUAAGCUGGCUGGUCAACCAGAAAUACUAACCUUAGCCACCGAUACUCCAGAUUAAUCUAUUCAAGGGGUAGAAACACAAUAUUAGUUAAAUGAGUAAUCACAGCAACUAAAAUAUAUAACAGAUUCUCGGAAUCGUUAGCCACUGUGCAAAUUGCAAAGUCAAGUGCCAAAUUGCAACCGAACUCCCUCGCAAACCGCGAAGCCUUCCUCAAUAAAUAGAAGAUUUAAAAUGCGAAAAAAAACAAAACAUUUGACUAAAUGACUGUCAUUGCGGAGUGUGGUUAAAACUCAUACGAAUGUGACUGGCAAAAUGGCAGUAGCAUCUCGAAAUUGAACAGGGAAUGGUGAGGCGGUGGGUCGUGAGUUAGCCAAGGUCGUUUGGUGUUCUUGAGUUCUUGGCAAUAUCUUAAGUGGCGAAAAUUGCACAAUUAAGUACAAGUACACUGCAAGCAUGCCUUUUGGCCCGUCUUAACCUGGCCCUAACCUUUUGGGCCGUUGCCAAACGCAACGCGGCAUUUACCUGAACUUAAAUUUCACUUGUAAGCCAAAAGACUCUGAAAGUGAUGCGAUGCCCGAACUAAUUGCAACUAAUUGAAAUUCACGCUGGCGGCUGUUGCGAAAACACUGUUCAAAUGACGCAGUUCCUCCGCUGACAAAUUGGCCGGGACAGAGAGAUUUUUUUUUCUGAACGUUUUCAAGUGCAAAAGUGCGUGAAAAUCCAAAUCAGUACACCCAGGUGCCGCCGAUCGCUUUAACCAAAUAUUUAUGCAAAUUUCUGAUUUGCCGCAGGAAGAGCACAAUGUCACGUCAACUCAAAUGUGCCAUGAAAAAUAAUAACAAAAUCAAACAAAAGCCUCAUUACAUAUCCGUAGAUGUGUGUCCAUACACUCAUGCCAAAACAACCAAAGAUACAGAUACAAAAACUAUAAGCACUUCUUUUUUCUACGUUUAACAAUCUUGAUAAAUUUUUAAGUGCAAAAUCUGUUAAUAGCACAUAUCAAUUGCUAAAUUAGUCACUUAGAGCUUGAAGACCAAUUGUUUAUAAUUAUAUAGACAACUUCAGUUGGUUCCCAUGUUAUGAAAAGAUACAAUGAAUUAAUGUAAUUAUCAGCAACAAUGAAAGAUUUAAAGAUAUGAAAGAUGGCAGAUUGGGAAGCCUUCAACUCAAAUUAUAUUCCCUAUCAGAUGGCUGGAGAUCGGAUAAGGAGACCAACCCAAAUGGAUUUCCAGGGCAGCGCGGCCUGGACUUUGCAAUACCGAUCUCAUUGUCACUUGUCACAACGCAACCAACUUAAUAUGGAUAAUAUGUUAAUACUCAUUUUGUCGUUUAUUUGCCUUUUCGGAAUACAUUUCUUUCAGCACACGCUUCUGGCGAACCUAUUGGCCGAAUGCCGUUGGCCGCAUUGCGAUUCUCAGGCCGUUCGGCUGGCCAAUUUAUCAAACAUUGCUUUUACGAUCUCGAGGUGCUUGUCAGGCUGCGUACAACCCAAAUCCAUUAGUGUUUAGCACAAGAUCGUAAACCUGUACCCCUAUUUUUAGACUAUUCUUUCGUCCAGCAGCUCCACGCCCAUUCAUAUGAAUACUCGUGGCUGGCACGUUUGGAUGCUCGGAGAUUUAUUCGUGAAUAUAGUUGAAUUCAAUGAAUAAAGCCAUUAAAUAGGCAUGCGGUCGAAUACUUGUUGUGGGCCGUAAAAUUAUUACUAUCUAUA